CUUUACUCUCUGGCUGGUGAAAAAUCAAAGCAGAACAAGGUGGUUGUUGUUGGCUCUACCGAGAUAGAGAGUGACGAAGAAGAUUACUUGGCUGAGUUAACUCACCAAAUGGCUCGCUCCACCCUUGAAGAUGAUUUCAAGAGAAACGACCUCCCUUGCAGCACCAAAAAGACUAAGGUUGGGUUUUGUCUGGAUCGUCUCAAUCAACGCUAUGUGCAGUUGGACGCAGGUGCAGUUGUAGACAAGGAUCUAGCCAUGGAAGCCUGAAUGGGUCUUCACCUCUAGCAACUUGGGAUCUGCUGUAUGAGGUUGCAGGAGAAGUAGAGAGGACCAUUGGGUUUGAACCGGUUUGGAAGGGAAAAAAACCAAACCGAACCGAACCGAAAUUAAUCGGUUUGAACCGGUUUUCGGUUCGGUUC